rnacentral:rRNA from 1 species
GACGAACGCUGUCGGCGUGCUUAACACAUGCAAGUCGAACGGAAAGGCCCUGCUUUUGUGGGGUGCUCGAGUGGCGAACGGGUGAGUAACACGUGAGUAACCUGCCCUUGACUUUGGGAUAACUUCAGGAAACUGGGGCUAAUACCGGAUAGGAGCUCCUGCUGCAUGGUGGGGGUUGGAAAGUUUCGGCGGUUGGGGAUGGACUCGCGGCUUAUCAGCUUGUUGGUGGGGUAGUGGCUUACCAAGGCUUUGACGGGUAGCCGGCCUGAGAGGGUGACCGGCCACAUUGGGACUGAGAUACGGCCCAGACUCCUACGGGAGGCAGCAGUGGGGAAUAUUGCACAAUGGGCGGAAGCCUGAUGCAGCAACGCCGCGUGCGGGAUGACGGCCUUCGGGUUGUAAACCGCUUUCGCCUGUGACGAAGCGUGAGUGACGGUAAUGGGUAAAGAAGCACCGGCUAACUACGUGCCAGCAGCCGCGGUGAUACGUAGGGUGCGAGCGUUGUCCGGAUUUAUUGGGCGUAAAGGGCUCGUAGGUGGUUGAUCGCGUCGGAAGUGUAAUCUUGGGGCUUAACCCUGAGCGUGCUUUCGAUACGGGUUGACUUGAGGAAGGUAGGGGAGAAUGGAAUUCCUGGUGGAGCGGUGGAAUGCGCAGAUAUCAGGAGGAACACCAGUGGCGAAGGCGGUUCUCUGGGCCUUUCCUGACGCUGAGGAGCGAAAGCGUGGGGAGCGAACAGGCUUAGAUACCCUGGUAGUCCACGCUGUAAACGGUGGGUACUAGGUGUGGGGUCCAUUCCACGGGUUCCGUGCCGUAGCUAACGCUUUAAGUACCCCGCCUGGGGAGUACGGCCGCAAGGCUAAAACUCAAAGGAAUUGACGGGGCCCCGCACAAGCGGCGGAGCAUGCGGAUUAAUUCGAUGCAACGCGUAGAACCUUACCUGGGUUUGACAUGGAUCGGGAGUGCUCAGAGAUGGGUGUGCCUCUUUUGGGGUCGGUUCACAGGUGGUGCAUGCCUGUCGUCAGCUCGUGUCGUGAGAUGUUGGGUUAAGUCCCGCAACGAGCGCAACCCUUGUUCACUGUUGCCAGCACGUUAUGGUGGGGACUCAGUGGAGACCGCCGGGGUCAACUCGGAGGAAGGUGGGGAUGACGUCAAGUCCUCAUGCCCCUUAUGUCCAGGGCUUCACGCAUGCUACAAUGGCUGGUACAGAGAGUGGCGAGCCUGUGAGGGUGAGCGAAUCUCGGAAAGCCGGUCUCAGUUCGGAUUGGGGUCUGCAACUCGACCUCAUGAAGUCGGAGUCGCUAGUAAUCGAAGGUCAGCAACGCUGCGGUGAAUACGUUCCCGGGGCC